rnacentral:rRNA from 1 species
AUGGCUUCUGUUCCAAUUUCAUCUAAGAUCCUGCUUGAUGCUAUGUUAGAGAAGGUUGGCCUGCCAGGGGCCACCUACUCAGCAAGCCCAAAAGAUGGUGCCCGUCUGCAAGUCACUGUUACCUUCUAUCCAAUCAGGAUCAGGCUCAAGCGUUCACCUGUCAAGGUUUCCCUUUCUACCUCGGAGCACCAAGAUCUUGAGGAAGCUCAAGAUUAUGUAGCUUCUACAGCAAUUAAGUACAUGGAUGCUUAUGAGGGCGUGGUUCCAAAAGACUAUAGUUAUGAUCAACUGAAGGCUGUGGAAAAAAAUGCACUAUUGUAUCAGCAGCUUAAGGCAAUGAAGAGGGACAACGCAUGUCUGAGACAGAAGCUAAAAGAGAGCAUUGGCAAAAACAAACUCCUGAGCAAAGGAUGGGAUGGAUCCCUGGACACAGAACAGAGCGUCACCAACAAUCUUAAGCAUUUGGUUAGUAGCAGGAUGAGCCCAGGAUCUGCUUCAGAUGACCUGGAGCUUAACAAUGUUCUUCUCAAUGUAGAGGCCAAAGGCGAACAUCUUCAGCAGUGCACUGAUGACACAAUGGUUAACCUUCAGGAGACUGGCGUUUAUCCAUACGGUCAGGAACAACCAAUAGAUGAAGAUGAAGGUCUGUCAACCCAAGGCGAUGGAAAUCCACCGUCACACCCGGAACUAAGAACCUCAUUUUAU